ACCCCAGCUUCAACUGACAGCAACACAGAAUAGUUUCUUUGACUAUACUAAGAGGUAAUAAGACUUACAUCAUAUUAAUGCUAAAUCAUUUAGACUGAAAGGGAAAACCAAGUCGGGUACUUCUAUAAAUCCGAAAACUAUUUCACAGGACAAUAUUCUCCUUUUGGGUUUAAAAUCGCCUUUAUACCACCCCAGAAUCCAGCUGUGACCUCUGCUGUUGGAGAUAAGCUCAACUCUCCUUAACUCUUCUUUCUAUUCUAAUAUCCAUACAAUAACUUUUUGCAGGAACUUCUACCUGUCUACUUAGUGAACCAGCAAAAUGGGUAACGCACCAUCGGAAGCUACAAUGGCCAACCUGAAAUGCUGCAAAUGUGCUUUUCCUUUGUCUCCGUGCACUUCCUUCGAUAAUUAUUACCAAGAUACAAUUAAUGGCCAGCAUGUCUAUGUAUUCAAUGGAGGGGAGUACUACAGACCUGUUGGCCAUGAUAACAUGUAUGAAUGUAACUUCUGUUUCCACCGUGAAAAGAUAUAGGAGACAAAAAGAGGAGAUGCAACAAAAUGAGAGGAGAGAAGGAACAACAAAUAGAGAGGAGUGGAGAUCACUUAAAUCACAAUUACAUGAAAAAUCACAGAAUAUCAAAAGAGGUACAGUAUA